rnacentral:lncRNA from 1 species
AUGAAGAUCAUUUUCGUCUUUGCUCUCCUUGCUAUUGCUGCAUGCAGCGCCAUUGCGCAGUUUGAUGUUUUAGGUCAAAGUUAUAGGCAAUAUCAGCUGCAGUCGCCUGUCCUGCUACAGCAACAGUAUGGCAUAGCGGCAAGCCCCUUCUUGCAAUCAGCUGCGUUUCAACUGAGAAACAACCAAGUCUGGCAACAGCUCGGGCUGGUGGCGCAUCAAUCUCACUAUCAGGACAUUAACAUUGUUCAGGCCAUAGCGCAGCAGCUACAACUCCAGCAGUUUGGUGAUCUCUACUUUGAUCGGAAUCUGGCUCAAGCUCAAGCUCUGUUGGCUUUUAACAUGCCAUCUAGAUAUGUGUCACGUCCCAAAACGACCCUAAAAUAUAUAUCCUUUAAAUUAUGCCUAGAAUAAUUAAAGUCCG